GUCUACGGCCACACCAAUCUGAACGCACCCAAAAUUGUCUGAUCUUAGAAGCUAAGCAGAGUCGGGCCUGGUUAGUAGUUGAAU
ensembl:rRNA 5S_rRNA 5S ribosomal RNA